GAUUAUCGAAGGAUUGCCUUAAUUCAUAAUC
rfam:Zhouia amylolytica AD3 51.P278.1_1, whole genome shotgun sequence.